rnacentral:lncRNA from 1 species
CUUUCAGCAAGGCAGAUAGCAGCCAGCGCAUUACUCACCAUUACCCCAUAGCUAUCUGUUUUCUGAGAAUGUGUUACAAGAAGUGGCAGCUGAAGCUCUGAAGCCUCUUCAGCACUGGCUGAAGCCACCUCCUGUGGUCUGUGAUGCUCUUGUCCUUGUCACCUGCCCUGGAGGCUGUGAGGCUUGGUGACUCUGCUCUGUUGGCACUCUAUUAGCCUCUUCUGGGGAUUAACGAGUGGGGAGACUACAAGCUGUGCUGCAGAUAAGUUCUCUAACUUGCCAAAACUGCAGUAAUGAGAGAACUUCUUUCCAGUUAGAAGAAAAGUUCCUCUCAGCCUGUUGCUUCCUUCUUCCUGACAGCUAGCUCUGAGGCACCACGAAGGGUAAAAAUGAAAGUUUCUGGAAGAUAAGCUUGGAGCUUUUUCUGCUGUUCUGCAGAAUGCACAGAACUCCUAGCAGAGCCAACAAGUACUUGAAGACUUUUCACUUCUCCUGUUUGUAUGAAGUGUGGCUUUUGGAGACGUGGAACUGGAAGAGUCUCAGAUAGAACCUCCUGCCUGGAGAACUCACGCAUCCUCGACAAAAAUGAACCAGGAGGAGAUGGCUUAUCCCCAGUCUGUGUAUCUUUUUUGGUCAGAGAUCUAUCAUCGCCACAUGCAAUAGGACAAACGUGCAACAGAAGACAAAUGGAAAACUCUUUACUUCCAAUAAGGAGCUGGCUCGUUAAAGGCAGUGAGAGGUUUGCAGCACCAGCCCUAGCAACAGCACUGAAAGUUAUCCCAAACAUGUAAAUGAAGCCGAGCUCCAGCGAUGGGAGGCCAAGCCACUAUGAACCCUCUGCAUCACGCUAUUAAUACAAAGAGGGGCCUCAAUUAAUUAAACUCUUAAAGGGUGACGCAAAAGCAUCAGAAGAAAUUUGCGGUGCACGUAAAGACAAAGUGUGUUCCACCAUACCUAAUUGCCAGAAUAAUUAUUUUCUGCUAUGCAAAUUAUCAUGAGCAAAUUCACUGCAGCUCAUUUGUGUGUAUUUAAUUAUCAUCAAGAGCUGGGGUUGAGGGACUAGAUUUAAUGUUUGUAAUGAAAUAGCAAGAAUUGGUGUGUGUGUUUGCAGAGAACUCGUUAUUUUACCACAGCUGGAUUUGUUUAUUUUAAAUAAAUCGUUAUGGCAGAUACA